GCCAGCAGCUAUAUCACCCUGCAGCUCUCAACCGGCUACCCACUGAAGCUCAGCAGGGUUGACCCUGGUCAGUACCUGGAUGGAGACCUUCUGGGAAGCUAUGGCUGCUGCUGGAA
rnacentral:rRNA from 1 species